GAUGCUAGCUAGCCGUCACCACCGUCUUCGUGGUGAUUAGUACUGACCAGCUCUGUCAUGAACUCUUCUCGCUCUCAAGCCCCUGCUGGAACCCUCUUCCCCAAACACUCCAGCGCUUAGAGAGGAGCCCAGAACUGGCUCCAGGAAGGAGCCACCCCCCACCCCCGCGGAGCCCCCCGCUGUUUGUUGGCUGUUCACGGAGUCCCUUGUGGGCACAACAAGUUGGGUGGCCAGGAGAAAAACAACAGCCUUGAACAGGGCCGGAGACAGGCGGUGGGGGAGGCUGUGUGAGCUUCUCGCCAACAAACAAAAGUUGCCUUUCAUCCGAUCCACUGCUGCCGAGGAGGACCCGCUUCCUCCCGCCCGGGCGUUGAUGCAAGCCGGCAGCAGAGGCGAGAAAACAGCCAGAGACCAAUAUAAAAGGCAGAUAAGACGAAGAGCUGCUCCGUUUGAAGUGGCAGCCACUCCACCAGUCACCCCUCUGGCACAAGCACCGAACUCCUGGAUGCCAGGGAAGCCAGCCUGAAAACCACUGAACUUCCCAACCUCAUGUGUCCUGUCCUCAAGGUCAAAGUCCCAUCUCACCUCCCCGCCUGCUCCGGGAGAAGACUGGAAGGAAGGGCCUUAUGGCUCCCAGAUCAUGUUGGUGUUAUUGGUUUUCCUUUCCUUUCUUUUUUUGUUUCUUCCCUCUAGUUCUGAAGUGUCACGUAGAAUUUUAUGAUAAGGCGUGCUUUAGGCCAAUAUUAUUUUAUUAUGUAGCCAUGUUGAAUAAAUGAAUGAAUGGGUGUGCGGACGGAGGUGUGCACCCGUGGAUAGAUGGCUGGCUGGGUAGAUGACGGAUGGAUGGAUGGAUGGAUGGAUGGCAGGAAGGCAGGCAGGCUGGGGGAUGGAUGGGUAGCUGGGUAGGUGGGUGGACAGAUGGCCGGAUGGGUGAUCCAAGGGUAACUGGAUGGAUGGACGA
rnacentral:lncRNA from 1 species